UUGCUGAAAGUCACAUAAAGUGGCUGAGGUAAUCUCAAGCCUCUGAUCUUCCUUCCUUAGCCUCCCAAGUCUUUGGGAUUACAGGUGUGUGCCAUUAUUCCUGGCUUUAAUUCAUGUUUCUUGGACAUCAACUGAAUUUGGACAUCUUUGGAAUUUGCUCAUUUGGAGAUCUUCUUGCUUGGAGGAAGAAAAGCUUCUCUGGGGCUCACAGUUCCAGAGGUCUCAGUUCAUAGACUAUUACAUUGAGGAGGCCAAGCAGUCCCAGGUUAGAAGGGUCCUGGAAUGCCAGUGUGCCUGCCAUCCAGCUCUGCUUCCUCCAUGUGGACAACCCCCCCAGCCUAGCCUCCCAUCAGGACCCUGUGCCCAGCAGCUCAUCCUCCCAAGACACCUCCACAGGGCAAUCCCUGUGGACAGUAGCAAGGGCUGGAAGAAGCUGAGGAGGAGCAUCAUCAAAUGCAUUCAGUAACUGUGCUGCAUACUUUGCUUCCAUUGGCCAGUUCCAGAAUAGAAUGGCUCUAGUGGAAAUGUAGAGCCCAGACAGAACCGAUGGGCAGCCAGAAGACCCUGGGCUCUGUGGAUGUUGAAUCAUGGUGUGGGAAUGAGGUGUGCCGAAUGGCUCAGGCGUCUCUGCACGGAUUCCAGGCAGGAGCGCAUCUGUAUCCACCAGGAGUCUUCUCUGCUUCCCCCCUGCAAAACACAUCAUAGAGACUUGACCCUGGGACGCUUCUCCUUCCCUGCUCUUUGGGAGAAAUUUAUUCUUAAAUUAAUUUUUCUCCACAAAUGGUAUAAUAAAAUUGAUGUUUCAAAGA